GCAGACCCACCUGUGCAGAGCGCACAGGGAAGGGUUUAUCCCACCACACACAUGCCAGUCACACUGUUUCUGCUAAAACGCAGUGGUGUAGAAGUUGUCUUUUUUAAGUUUUCUGAGAGAUCCAUGAGGUCAUAAGUAGAUUUGUUAGUAGACAAGGAACCCCUCAGAAAGCAGUGUUUGGUUCUCUUGCCAUGAGAAGACCCUGGCGCUUUAGCUGGGAGCCAAUUGGCUGACAUCCCUCGCUGCUCGUCCUGCCACACCAGCAACAGGUUUGCAGUGUCUGUAUGCCCUUGGUUGACUCUUAGUAGCACAACUACCAGGAAAGUCAGAAGAUAUCCUGAUGUUUUCAAAUCUGUCUGGAUCCCCUUGUGAUAACAACACACAGGUGAGACCAGCAUGGGGUAGAGCUCUGCCUGGUCUCCCUGUGUUCUUAGAGGAAGAAGUGGUACAGGUUGUUCCACAGCGCAAAUCCUGAUGGGCUCUGAAACACAAACCAUUUCCCUGAAGUGGAUUGCCAUGGUGCCAAUAGCUCUGUACUCCUACUCUUUCACGCCAGCACUGUCUGUUGACAUCAUGUUGAAUGUGUUACCAGAAGGCACUGGAAACCUGGCAAUAUUUGAAUGUUGCCUGUCCGCCCCAGCCCCUGCUGCCCCUCAGCCUGUGACGGAGCUCUUCUGUCUGAGAUGUGGCUGGCAGCACUCAGAGGCCUCUGCCAUGUGCAAAGCAGCCCCAGGGAGAGGGCAAUGUGCAUUCUGAACCCAAGCGUGGAGCAGCUAAGGACUGCCAAGUUCACUUGUGAGGCCUCUCUGCAGUGCGUAGAUUCGUGUGGGGAGAACACGCACUGGAAAUGUGCAAUUACUGGAUUGGGGUUUCAUUUCAAUGAAGGAGAAGGUUUUUGCCAAAGGAUUGCUCUAUAUAUUGCAAAGCAAGCAAAGCAAGGCUGGAUUUUUUUUUUUUUUUUUUUUUUUUUUUUUUUUUUUUUUUUUUUUUUUUUUUUUUUUUUUUGAGGGAGCCCUUUGUUAAAAUCUUGGCAGCACAUCUCUGCCGGGAAGACAGAAGUGCUCUGUGCUGAAGCGGUGUUGGCACGCCUUGCUGGGGCACGCAGAGGCGGUGGGGAAGGCUGCCAUCUCAUGGCCAGCCUCACACGGCUCCUGCUCGCCCAGAUCACCUUCCCUGCUGCCAGUUUCCAGGCCAGGUUGCACCUGAGGAGACUUUUCUCAACAAGUCUGCAGCUUCAGAAGCAGCCGAUGUCUUUUGCCACGGGUUUUGCGCUUUAACUUUGAGACCAAACCUGCCAGAGCCUGGAGUUCUCUGGUUUCUUGCCUUGUCAACAUUUUAUGUGAGAGCAAAAUGGUAGUUUUUGAAAAACUGUGGGGGCAAGACAACUGCACAUCUGAGAAGAGUGACUGUCCCAGAUGAUUUUAGUGGCGACUUUAGGCUGAUAUGCUAUUGCCUGUGACAGCAGCUUUGCUGAAUCACAGUCCUGAAUGGAAACUCCCCUGGAACCACUUGUGGGUUACAACUCAUAAUUUUGGGAUUCUUUGGUAUUCAUCACUAACCUUCUGCCGCAGCUCACACAUCCCACGCUCUUGCGCUAGCUGUCUGCCCUCCGCCUACUGAAAACGUACCAGUGCUCGCCCAACACAAGCUGGAUGCUCCCUCUCCACUCCAUGGGAUGUGGCAGCUCUGUGGAGGGCUGCAUAGUGUUUCCAGAAGUUUCCAGAAAACCCUGGACAUGAACCUGCAGCUGAGAGGUUCAUCUUUGGCCAGUGAGAGUUUCUACACAGAAUGAAAGAAUCCUUGCUGAUCAGGAGAAGUCCAGCAUGGCAGUGUUGGAACAGGCAGAUGGGCAGCAUCCAUACUGACAGCAAGGGGGAUGGAACAGAAAAGGGGAAUUUUAAAGGUGGUAAAGGUCUCUUAUUCAGGGAAAUGGUCAGAAAUUUUAUCACUGUAAGAGCUUUGAAUGCAUCUGUGGUGAGGAAAGGGAGAAACUGCAUUUCAAAAUAUUGUCUGUCACACCAGCCUUGACAGCUGUCAAAAAUAUGUGCUGAAUAUGCACACCCUGGACAUGUACAUGAAUAUGGAUUCUCAGAAGUGAAUGGGCCCUACCCACCACUGGCUCCCAUAACCCACUCCUGAGUCCCACAUGUGGAGAUCUCUGUGACACAUGCUUGAAGGAAGAGGAUAAACCUUUUAACUGUAGAUUCUGGCAGGAGAAAACAUCUAUUUUGACUCCUGAUUUUCCUCAGAAGGCUUAUUAUGGAAAAACUUGGGUGAGAAAUGAGCACCAUUUCGCCCUCAAAUUUGAUUAUGAAGGAAUUUUUGCAUAGUGAGAGACCUUAUUUAUGGAGCAGAUUCUCAGGUAAGUACAGGUGUUCAGAAGAUGUAUUUGGAGAUAUUGACAUGUAUAAAACCUGAAAUAAAAAAAAAAAACAAAAAACAUAGUAUUUCCUUUUCUGCUUUGCUUACCUCUCAUAGAAGUGCCUCUUCCAAGGUGCCAGAAGACAUACCAAUGAAUAUUGGCCUAGUAGUGUAAAACACAGAUCCCAAAAGGCAUGGCACACAUAUCAUUAGCAAUAAGAGAUCUACAUCAAAGUUACAGUCAAAUUACUGAAGUAGCCUAACUUUUUUUUAAUGUUCAUGGAUGCAGCUCUGCAAAGAGCUCCUGCCUCUAUGUAUGUAGCAAAGCACCUCCUGGAGCCCCACAUGGAGUUACUUUGAAGUGUGCCCUAAAGUAUGGCUGCAAGCAUAUUUAUGCUACUUUUUUCCCCCCCAUUUCUUCUUCCUUCCAGUUAGAUUAGGCUUAAUUUUUGAUAGACAGAGUCUUAUCUAGUUUGUGUUUGUUUUCAGAACAGCAGUGGGCAAAACACUGAGGAACAAGUAGGCCUGGGGAAAAAAAUUAACAAUCAGGGAAAUGAAAGCACAUGUAGAUUUGAAAAGAUGAAAAUUUUCUAUACCUCUCCACUUCUGUAAUGCUUAGUAUUGCAAUGCCUGGUUCACUGGAAAAAGGAAUACCUGAUGAGCCCAAAAAUACGUGAAAGCAGGAGACUGCAUGCACAAGGGUGUUCCAGUCACACAAAUAUAUUGCUUGGUGUUCGUUCUUGAGGUUUGAAAAAUCACAAGGAAUCUUCUGAAAAUGACAAGUCUAUUUCCAUGCCAUGUGUAGUAUACAUUGCACCUCGUAUAAAUUGCUGUAGGGAGGCAAAGUACUAUUCUUGGAUCUGCAGGGCACCCCUGAGCUUUGAUAUGUGCUCUUUGAUACUGUCAACUGUGAGAGUUCUUCACGUGUAGCAAAGGCAAAACAUCAAUGCUGAGUGUGACAUGCACUGAUCUUGGAGAGAGCCUUGCCCAGAGAGCAUUUCAACGAGCAGA